ACCAUGGAAAAGCCCUGCCAUGUGCACAAUACAGAGUUGUACAUGAGGCAUGAAGCAAUAGGAUUCUGGUCAAAGAACCCUAUCAAUGAUGACCAAGUGCCUUGAAGUCUCUGAUCCAUAGUGAGCACCUGGACAACAGGCACAGGAGGCAUACAGAUCACCUUGAUGCAGUUUUCUCCAAGAUGGUAUGACUAACAAUCGAGAUUAGAAGCAGAUUCAGCCCCCCUUUCCCACUUCAUCAGAUGAAUGCAUCUUGCCUUCUUAGUCUUUAAAUUCCACACAACUCUUUGUUGUUUUGCUGCAGCAGAAGGCUCUUCAGCACUGGUCAACAGUUUUGUCCUCUUUUGGUUAGUGUGGCUUUCUGAGAAUCUUCUUUGUGGAACCUCUCCUCUGGAGCAGUGCUUGGACUGCAACUCCGAGAAACCCAGGCCAGCACAACUGAUGUUUAAGACUUCUGGGAGUUGAAGUCCAAGAACACCUGGUUACCAGAGGUUAACCUUUAUUUACCAUGGACCUCCUUUAAAUAUCUUUUGCUGCCACAGACCACCAAGACUCAAUAUUUAAAACCUUAAAGAGUAUCAAAUAUUUAUUUAAAUCUUCUCAUGAAGGGUCUCAUAGACAAAUAUUUGUCGCUAUAACGGCUACGCUUUUUAAGAUGACUGGAAGAAACUUCAUUUUGCUUUGAACAAGAAACAGUAUCAUCAACAGCAUCAUUUCUUUUACAAUUCAAAUUCAGCCAGCAAUCUAUUUUGGGUCUCAGCCAAAAUGCAUUGUUAUGGAAUUCACUGCAAUCCUAUCAAAAAGUCACUUUACCUGAUAGUAACUGAAUGAUUUUAUUAGAAGAAAUCAAAGAAGUAACAUGAUCACAAAUUCUGUCCAAAGAUUCAAUCACUGUGACACUCUCAGACUUUCUCUCUCUUCCCGUGGCUUCUGAUGGUAGAAAGAAAUGUCACAUGCUCUCUCUCAGCCACU